rnacentral:rRNA from 1 species
UACAUAGGUGGCAAGCGUUAUCCGGAAUAACUGGGCGUAAAGGGAGUGUAGGUGGUAUUCUAAGUUAUAUGUGAAAGACCAUGGCUCAACCAUGGAACUGCAUAUAAGACUGCAGAACUAGAGUGCGAGUGAGGUAAGCGGAAUUCCUAGUGUAGCGGUAGAAUGCGUAGAGAUUAGGAAGAACACCAGAGGCGAAGGCGGCUUACUGGCUCGUAACUGACACUGAGGCUCGAAAGCAUGGGGAGCAAAC